CUUGUCAUGGGACCUGACUG
rnacentral:piRNA from 1 species